AGGAGUGGGGCUAUGUAGAAUAGAUAUUAAUUUGUUUCUGUAAGAUAUUAGUAAAAUAGACUAAUAGUCCAUAGAAUAGUCAAUUCAGGAAGACGGAUGAUUGAUUUAGUUAUUAAAAGUGAUUAAUUAUAGGAUUACGGUUAGAAUCUGGAAAUUAAAAGCAAUUAUAUAGGAGUUAUAAAAGUUUGUUGAGGUGCCAAACUGUGAUAGUCAUGAGCCGAGGUAAGCUUGGUGCUACCUCUUUGUUUCUUUGUUUCUUUGUUUUCUUUGUUAUUGAAGAGUAAUGGAUAGUUUCUGAAUACUAAGAAGUGAGUCUGUGGAAUAAAUCAGAGAUUGAUUUAUGAGUUAUUGAUUAUAUAAUUGGAAUACUAAGUGAUUGAAUUAUAUGAGUUAUUGAAAAUUUAUGACUGUUGUUUAUUGAGAGUUGUGUGUGUUUCCAUAGAAGAAGUCUGUGAUUACAAAAAUUAUGUGAAUUUAGAUUUAUUAGAUUGAAAUCUGUUAUUCUUGGUGUUGGAUGAAAAUUAUUGUAUUUUGAGUGGUCUUUUGAGAGUGCAAGGUUACACACUAUUGUUAUCAAUUGAUGAAAGAGUAUUUUUAUUGGGAGAAAGUAUCAUAGUAUUUCUUAAUAUUUUAGUGGUUUGGAAUACAGUUAAUUGUGUGAUCCUAACAAGUAAAACUCAUACACUUAGUCUUUCUCUAUGUUCAAAUUCCUCCAUACAGGUUUAUUCUAAAAGGAAUUCUAGAAUAAGUAAAAUGACA
rnacentral:lncRNA from 1 species